rnacentral:rRNA from 1 species
AACGAACGCUGGCGGCGUGCCUAACACAUGCAAGUCGUGCGAGAAAGUUCCUUCGGGAGCGAGUAAAGCGGCGCACGGGUGAGUAACACGUAGGUAACCUGCCCCCCAGUCUGGAACAACUAGAGGAAACUCUAGCUAAUGCCGGAUGAGACCACGAUCCCUUCGGGGGUUGCGGCCAAAGAUGGCCUCUACUUGUAAGCUAUCGCUGAGGGAUGGGCCUGCGGGCCAUUAGCUUGUUGGUGAGGUAACGGCUCACCAAGGCUGUGAUGGCUAGCUGGUCUGAGAGGAUGACCAGCCACACUGGGACUGAGACACGGCCCAGACUCCUACGGGAGGCAGCAGUGGGGAAUAUUGCGCAAUGGGCGAAAGCCUGACGCAGCGACGCCGCGUGGGGU